UAUUGGACAAUGGGCGAAAGCCUGAUCCAGCGACGCCGCGUGUGUGAAGAAGGCCUGCGGGUUGUAAAGCACUUUUAGUGGGGAUGAAAAGCUCGGGGCUAAUACCUCCGGGUCUUGACCUAACCCAAAGAAAAAGCACCGGCUAACUCUGUGCCAGCAGCCGCGGUAAUACAGAGGGUGCAAGCGUUAAUCGGAAUUACUGGGCGUAAAGCGUGCGUAGGCGGUUUCGUAAGUCGGGUGUGAAAGCCCCGGGCUCAACCUGGGAAUUGCAUUCGAGACUGCGAAGCUGGAGUGCGGAAGAGGGAAGUGGAAUUUCCGGUGUAGCGGUGAAAUGCGUAGAUAUCGGAAGGAACAUCAGUGGCGAAAGCGACUUCCUGGUCCAGCACUGACGCUCAGGCACGAAAGCGUGGGGAGCAAACAGGA
rnacentral:rRNA from 1 species